rnacentral:rRNA from 1 species
CUGCGAUAAGCGUCGGUAAGGUGAUAUGAACCGUUAUAACCGGCGAUUUCCGAAUGGGGAAACCCAGUGUGAUUCGUCACACUAUCAUUAACUGAAUCCAUAGGUUAAUGAGGCGAACCGGGGGAACUGAAACAUCUAAGUACCCCGAGGAAAAGAAAUCAACCGAGAUUCCCCCAGUAGCGGCGAGCGAACGGGGAGGAGCCCAGAGCCUGAAUCAGUGUGUGUGUUAGUGGAAGCGUCUGGAAAGGCGCGCGAUACAGGGUGACAGCCCCGUACACAAAAAUGCACAUGCUGUGAGCUCGAUGAGUAGGGCGGGACACGUGGUAUCCUGUCUGAAUAUGGGGGGACCAUCCUCCAAGGCUAAAUACUCCUGACUGACCGAUAGUGAACCAGUACCGUGAGGGAAAGGCGAAAAGAACCCCGGCGAGGGGAGUGAAAAAGAACCUGAAACCGUGUACGUACAAGCAGUGGGAGCCUCUUUAUGGGGUGACUGCGUACCUUUUGUAUAAUGGGUCAGCGACUUAUAUUCUGUAGCAAGGUUAACCGAAUAGGGGAGCCGAAGGGAAACCGAGUCUUAACUGGGCGUUAAGUUGCAGGGUAUAGACCCGAAACCCGGUGAUCUAGCCAUGGGCAGGUUGAAGGUUGGGUAACACUAACUGGAGGACCGAACCGACUAAUGUUGAAAAAUUAGCGGAUGACUUGUGGCUGGGGGUGAAAGGCCAAUCAAACCGGGAGAUAGCUGGUUCUCCCCGAAAGCU